UCUGUGCGCGCGCACACGUGAAACAGUGUUGCCAACUUAGCGACUUUGUCGCUAUAUUUAGCGACUUUUCAGACCCAUCCAGCGACACAUUUUUUAAAAAGCGAUAAAUCUAGAGACUUUUCCUGACGUUAUUGGCGACUUUUGGUGAAGUGAAAAGAACGUAUCGUUCCAACGCUUCUUCUCAACGAGCAGCGGGUGCUGUCGUGAACCUCCCCCCUUCCCAAAGCAAGAAAGGGCAGGCAAACGGUCCGAUGGGAAAAGCGUCGAUUCCCCCCCACUCACUGUGGGGAGAUCAGUCAGGUGACUUUGUGGCAGGGCAGCGAGCCCGUCAAGGUCACCUGGGGAUGUACACAGGACAGUGGAGAUGUUCCUCCCAGCUGCUGCACCUGAGUUCCUGAGUUCUCCUUCCACCUUCACCCAAUUCUAUACAUUGUAACAAGCCAAACGACAGCUGCACCAGACGAUCCUUCGCCUCCUACGAAGUCUACAGAGGGCUGCCACAUUCCCUCACAGCGCCACACAGGUCUCCGUCCUCCACAUUGUUACGCCUCCACCCCGGCUCGGAAGAGGAGGUGGGGCGUAACUGCCCAAGACCACGCCUGUUGGAUGCCGGAACCUGUACACUAUGCACCACAAUAACAAUCAAUAAUAAACACACGCUGCUACACAAAAGUACAGAAUGGUGGGU